rnacentral:tRNA from 1 species
GGGCGCGUAGCUCAGUUGGCUAGAGCGCUACCUUGACACGGUAGAGGUCAGCGGUUCAAUUCCGCUCGCGCCCACCA